CCAAUAGCGUAUAUUAAAGUUGUUGCAGUUAAAAAGCUCGUAGUUGAAUUUCGGGAUUGACGUGACGGUCAUGCCUUAAGGGGUAUGAACUGUUGCUGUUGAUUUCUCACCUUCUGGAGAAACUUGAUGUCCUUUAUUGGGUGUCUUGCGGAUCCAGGACCUUUACCUUGAAAAAAUUAGAGUGUUUAAAGCAGGCAUUUUUGCUCGAAUACAUUAGCAUGGAAUAAUAGAAUAGGACGGCAUGGUUCUAUUUUGUUGGUUUCUAGGAUCACCGUAAUGAUGAAUAGGGAUAGUUGGGGGCAUUAGUAUUCAAUUGUCAGAGGUGAAAUUCUUGGAUUUAUUGAAGACUAACUACUGCGAAAGCAUUUGCCAAGGAUGUUUUCAUUAAUCAAGAACGAAAGUUAGGGGAUCGAAGACGAUCAGAUACCGUCGUAGUCUUAACCAUAAACUAUGCCGACUAGGAAUCAGACGAUGUUAAUUUUUUAAUGACUCGUUUGGCACCUUACG
rnacentral:misc_RNA from 1 species